AUUGAACGCUGGCGGUAUGCUUAACACAUGCAAGUCGAACGAUGAGAAAGAGCUUGCUCUUUCGAUUAGUGGCGGACGGGUGCGUAACGCGUAGGAAUCUACCUAUUAGUGGGGGACAACUUAGGGAAACUUAAGCUAGUACCGCAUACGCCCUACGGGGGAAAGAAGGGGAUCGCAAGACCUUUUGCUAAUAGAUGAGCCUGCGUAGGAUUAGCUAGUUGGUGGGGUAAAAGCUCACCAAGGCGACGAUCCUUAACUGGUUUGAGAGAAUGAUCAGUCGCACUGGAACUGAGACACGGUCCAGACUCCUACGGGAGGCAGCAGUGGGGAAUAUUGGACAAUGGGCGAAAGCCUGAUCCAGCAAUACCGCGUGUGUGAAGAAGGCCUUAGGGUUGUAAAGCACUUUCAAUUGGAAGGAAAACCUCGAAGCUAAUACCUUCGAGUUUGACAUUACCUUUAGAAGAAGCACCGGCUAACUCCGUGCCAGCAGCCGCGGUAAAAC
rnacentral:rRNA from 1 species